CCGCGAGGGGUCACAAAAUUAGAGUAUAUAAGCGAAGCGUUAGCAGGCCGAAUAUCCUCAUUCUCCUCAAAUCCUAGUGCGACAAAAGAUGCCCAAGGCAAAGAGACCGCGCGGGAAAAGGGGAGGGUGGAGAGUCCACCUCAGGAACCU